rnacentral:rRNA from 1 species
GCUGGUCGCGACGUUUGGUUGGGGGUGGCCACGACGGCUACCGCCGCUCUUCAUUGCCUCUCGGCGCCGCCGGCUGCAACUCCGCAACGUUGGUGCCGCUGUUCACUACCUCUAGGUAGUAAAAGAAAAGAACCUUCGUCGGGGUUAAAAACGACGUCUGCGGGAACUAAAAACGACCUUGGUCAUGUACUGCGACGUUCAACUGUUACCGCCGCUCGGCCUCUGCCCCUGCGGUCCCUACGAGGUUGGUACUACUGUCGCGCGACCUUAGGAGGACACAAACUCAACGUUGGUACUGCUCGUCUCCGUCGGUUCCGUUCACAGUCUGUGCUGGCAGUCCGUUCGCCGUCCGCUCGCGCCCACUGCCCGCACCACCGCGCCACCUUUCGUUCGUGCCCUUCUGCUCCUGAUAGCGCUCGCCGGCCGCUCGUGUGUCUAGACCGUACGCGCGAGCGACAGGAAAAAAAACACAAAGGACACGCACAAA